rnacentral:rRNA from 1 species
GGUGGAUGCCCUGGCAGUCAGAGGCGAUGAAGGACGUGCUAAUCUGCGAUAAGCGUCGGUAAGGUGAUAUGAACCGUUAUAACCGGCGAUUUCCGAAUGGGGAAACCCAGUGUGUUUCGACACACUAUCAUUAACUGAAUCCAUAGGUUAAUGAGGCGAACCGGGGGAACUGAAACAUCUAAGUACCCCGAGGAAAAGAAAUCAACCGAGAUUCCCCCAGUAGCGGCGAGCGAACGGGGAGCAGCCCAGAGCCUGAAUCAGUGUGUGUGUUAGUGGAAGCGUCUGGAAAGGCGCGCGAUACAGGGUGACAGCCCCGUACACAAAAAUGCACAUACUGUGAGCUCGAUGAGUAGGGCGGGACACGUGGUAUCCUGUCUGAAUAUGGGGGGACCAUCCUCCAAGGCUAAAUACUCCUGACUGACCGAUAGUGAACCAGUACCGUGAGGGAAAGGCGAAAAGAACCCCGGCGAGGGGAGUGAAAAAGAACCUGAAACCGUGUACGUACAAGCAGUGGGAGCCUCUUAAUGGGGUGACUGCGUACCUUUUGUAUAAUGGGUCAGCGACUUAUAUUCUGUAGCAAGGUUAACCGAAUAGGGGAGCCGAAGGGAAACCGAGUCUUAACUGGGCGUUAAGUUGCAGGGUAUAGACCCGAAACCCGGUGAUCUAGCCAUGGGCAGGUUGAAGGUUGGGUAACACUAACUGGAGGACCGAACCGACUAAUGUUGAAAAAUUAGCGGAUGACUUGUGGCUGGGGGUGAAAGGCCAAUCAAACCGGGAGAUAGCUGGUUCUCCCCGAAAGCUAUUUAGGUAGCGCCUCGUGAAUUCAUCUCCGGGGGUAGAGCACUGUUUCGGCAAGGGGGUCAUCCCGACUUACCAACCCGAUGCAAACUGCGAAUACCGGAGAAUGUUAUCACGGGAGACACACGGCGGGUGCUAACGUCCGUCGUGAAGAGGGAAACAACCCAGACCGCCAGCUAAGGUCCCAAAGUCAUGGUUAAGUGGGAAACGAUGUGGGAAGGCCCAGACAGCCAGGAUGUUGGCUUAGAAGCAGCCAUCAUUUAAAGAAAGCGUAAUAGCUCACUGGUCGAGUCGGCCUGCGCGGAAGAUGUAACGGGGCUAAACCAUGCACCGAAGCUGCGGCAGCGACACUAUGUGUUGUUGGGUAGGGGAGCGUUCUGUAAGCCUGUGAAGGUGUACUGUGAGGUAUGCUGGAGGUAUCAGAAGUGCGAAUGCUGACAUAAGUAACGAUAAAGCGGGUGAAAAGCCCGCUCGCCGGAAGACCAAGGGUUCCUGUCCAACGUUAAUCGGGGCAGGGUGAGUCGACCCCUAAGGCGAGGCCGAAAGGCGUAGUCGAUGGGAAACAGGUUAAUAUUCCUGUACUUGGUGUUACUGCGAAGGGGGGACGGAGAAGGCUAUGUUGGCCGGGCGACGGUUGUCCCGGUUUAAGCGUGUAGGCUGGUUUUCCAGGCAAAUCCGGAAAAUCAAGGCUGAGGCGUGAUGACGAGGCACUACGGUGCUGAAGCAACAAAUGCCCUGCUUCCAGGAAAAGCCUCUAAGCAUCAGGUAACAUCAAAUCGUACCCCAAACCGACACAGGUGGUCAGGUAGAGAAUACCAAGGCGCUUGAGAGAACUCGGGUGAAGGAACUAGGCAAAAUGGUGCCGUAACUUCGGGAGAAGGCACGCUGAUAUGUAGGUGAAGUCCCUCGCGGAUGGAGCUGAAAUCAGUCGAAGAUACCAGCUGGCUGCAACUGUUUAUUAAAAACACAGCACUGUGCAAACACGAAAGUGGACGUAUACGGUGUGACGCCUGCCCGGUGCCGGAAGGUUAAUUGAUGGGGUUAGCGGUAACGCGAAGCUCUUGAUCGAAGCCCCGGUAAACGGCGGCCGUAACUAUAACGGUCCUAAGGUAGCGAAAUUCCUUGUCGGGUAAGUUCCGACCUGCACGAAUGGCGUAAUGAUGGCCAGGCUGUCUCCACCCGAGACUCAGUGAAAUUGAACUCGCUGUGAAGAUGCAGUGUACCCGCGGCAAGACGGAAAGACCCCGUGAACCUUUACUAUAGCUUGACACUGAACAUUGAGCCUUGAUGUGUAGGAUAGGUGGGAGGCUUUGAAGUGUGGACGCCAGUCUGCAUGGAGCCGACCUUGAAAUACCACCCUUUAAUGUUUGAUGUUCUAACGUUGGCCCCUUACCGGGGUUGCGGAC